rnacentral:rRNA from 1 species
GCAAGUCGAACGCCCCGCAAGGGGAGUGGCAGACGGGUGAGUAACGCGUGGGAACAUACCCUUUCCUGCGGAAUAGCUCCGGGAAACUGGAAUUAAUACCGCAUACGCCCUACGGGGGAAAGAUUUAUCGGGGAAGGAUUGGCCCGCGUUGGAUUAGCUAGUUGGUGGGGUAAAGGCCUACCAAGGCGACGAUCCAUAGCUGGUCUGAGAGGAUGAUCAGCCACAUUGGGACUGAGACACGGCCCAAACUCCUACGGGAGGCAGCAGUGGGGAAUAUUGGACAAUGGGCGCAAGCCUGAUCCAGCCAUGCCGCGUGAGUGAUGAAGGCCUUAGGGUUGUAAAGCUCUUUCACCGGAGAAGAUAAUGACGGUCUCCGGAGAAGAAGCCCCGGCUAACUUCGUGCCAGCAGCCGCGGU